rnacentral:rRNA from 1 species
AACGCGAAGAACCUUACCUGGGCUAGACAACGGCGGACCGUCCUAGAAAUAGGAUCUUCCCUUCGGGGACUGCCGGUUCAGGUGCUGCAUGGCUGUCGUCAGCUCGUGCCGUGAGGUGUUGGGUUAAGUCCCGCAACGAGCGCAACCCUUGCCCUUAGUUGCCACCAUUGAGUUGGGCACUCUAGGGGGACUGCCGGCGUUAAGCCGGAGGAAGGUGGGGACGACGUCAAGUCAUCAUGGCCCUUAUGUCCAGGGCUACACACGUGCUACAAUGGGCGGUACAAAGGGUUGCAAACCCGCAAGGGGGAGCCAAUCCCAAAAAACCGCUCUCAGUUCGGAUUGGAGUCUGCAACUCGACUCCAUGAAGUUGGAAUCGCUAGUAAUCGCGGAUCAGAACGCCGCGGUGAAUACGUUCCCGGGCCUUGUACACACCG